rnacentral:rRNA from 1 species
ACGAAGGGUGCAAGCGUUAAUCGGAAUUACUGGGCGUAAAGGGUGCGUAGGCGGUUCGUUAAGUCUGUCGUGAAAUCCCGGGGCUCAACCUCGGAACUGCCUUUGAUACUGCAAAUCUCGUGUCCGGAAGAGGUGAGUGGAAUUCCUAGUGUAGAGGUGAAAUUCGUAGAUAUUAGGAAGAACACCAGUGGCGAAGGCGGCUCACUGGUCCGGUACUGACGCUGAGGUGCGAAAGCGUGGGGAGCAAACAGGA